GACAGAGGGUGCAAGCGUUGUUCGGAAUCAUUGGGCGUAAAGCGCACGUAGGCGGCUUUGUAAGUCGGAUGUGAAAGCCCGGGGCCCAACCUCGGAAGUGCAUCCGAAACUGCAUGGCUCGAGUCCUGGAGAGGGUGGCGGAAUUCCUGGUGUAGAGGUGAAAUUCGUAGAUAUCAGGAGGAACACCGGUGGCGAAGGCGGCCACCUGGACAGUGACUGACGCUGAGGUGCGAAAGCGUGGGGAGCAAACAGG
rnacentral:misc_RNA from 1 species